UACGUAGGGACCAAGCGUUGUUCGGAUUUACUGGGCGUAAAGCGCGUGUAGGCGGUUGUCCAAGUUGGAUGUGAAAGCCUUGAGCUUAACUCAAGAAAUGCAUUCAGGACUGGAUGACUAGAGGACCGGAGAGGAUAGUGGAAUUCCCAGUGUAGUGGUGAAAUACGUAGAGAUUGGGAAGAACACCAGUGGCGAAGGCGGCUAUCUGGACGGUUUCUGACGCUAAGACGCGAAAGCGUGGGGAGCAAACAGG
rnacentral:rRNA from 1 species